AGGACGAACGCUGGCGGCGUGCUUAACACAUGCAAGUCGAGCGAGGCCCUUCCUUCGGGAAGGUGUCCUAGCGGCGAACGGGUGAGUAACACGUGGGCAACCUGCCCUCAGCUCUGGGAUAACUCCGGGAAACCGGGGCUAAUACCGGAUACGACCUCUAAGGGCAUCCGAAGAGGUGGAAAGUUUUUCGGCUGAGGAUGGGCCCGCGGCCUAUCAGCUUGUUGGUGGGGUGACGGCCUACCAAGGCGACGACGGGUAGCCGGCCUGAGAGGGUGACCGGCCACACUGGGACUGAGACACGGCCCAGACUCCUACGGGAGGCAGCAGUGGGGAAUAUUGCGCAAUGGGCGAAAGCCUGACGCAGCGACGCCGCGUGAGGGACGAAGGCCCUUCGGGUUGGUAAACCUCUUUCAGCAGGGACGAAGCGAAAGUGACGGUACCUGCAGAGAAGCACGGCCAACUACGUGCCAGCAGCCGC
rnacentral:rRNA from 1 species